rnacentral:lncRNA from 1 species
ACUACAGUGCAGUUGUAACUGCAUAUAGAUGCAAAUUCGAUGUUUAAUUUGAUGUAUUUAACUCCAGCUAUUGGAGUAGGAACUAUAGGAAGAGGCCCAACUGCAGCAGUUAAAAAUACGCCGAAAUUAACUGCAGUUUCAAUUGCAGUAAUUGGAAAGAGUAACUUUAAACAAAAUGUAUGCUUACAUUCUUAAUUAUUUUUUAAAUAUAUUUUUUUUUACAUUAUUGAUAAUUUCAUUAUCAUAUAUAUAAAAUGAUAAAAUUUUAAAAAUUAUUUCUCAACUAUAUGUAACCAAAUAAAUUAUUUAUAGUUACAACACUUUUUACUACAUCCAACCAAAUAGGAUGCAUGUAGUUACAACUACUGCAUUUUCAACUCAUGUCUCCAAUUACACUGCAUUUAUAAUUACAUCAAACCAAACAGCCGUAAAAUAAAUUAUAAAAUAUUAUAUUGUUAGAUGUUUCGAAUUCUGGAACCACAAGAUUUUCUAACACUAUUCUGAUUUGUUUAUCCCAUUAAUUUAAAUUUAAAUUAUGCUUAAUUAAUCUUUUUGAGAUUAUUUCUAACCGGUUGUGUUAGUAUUUAGUUACUAUUAUAAAUAUACCAUUUAUUCUAUUGAUGAGAUGGGAAAGAGUAUUUGUAUAUUAUUUGGAUUAGAAUUUUAUGAGAGAGGCAAAUUUUGUACACUAUGUUGAUUAAAAUAAUAAAAAUCUCUACUGUGCCUUCAGCAGUGGACGAAAGACAAUGGUCGAAUCAUAUAAAUAUUUUUAUGUUUUAAUUUUCUUCUCUUUUUUAAUCCUCUUUCGAUAUUUUUGCGCCCGAUGAAUUAGAUCUUUUUCGUUUUUAUUAUAUAACAAACUGGUAUCAUAGAAAAUUUUAUAUUGGUGUAAGUUGCGGCUUUCUAACAAUAUCCUAUCAAAUUAUAAAUAUCGAACCUUUUAAGAAGCAAAAAUCAAACACCUUACUUCAAUAUAAAAAAUCUUCUUACCAUACAUAUUAUCUUU